rnacentral:rRNA from 1 species
UACUUUGUUUUUGGUUACGGAGGAAAAGAAACCAACAGGGAUUGCCCUAGUAACGGCGAGUGAAGCGGCAACAGCUCAAAUUUGAAAGCUGGCUCCGGCCCGCAUUGUAAUUUGCAGAGGAUGCUUCUGGCAAGGUGCCUUCCGAGUUCCCUGGAACGGGACGCCAUAGAGGGUGAGAGCCCCGUAUGGAUGGACACCAAGCCUGUGUGAAGCUCCUUCAACGAGUCGAGUAGUUUGGGAAUGCUGCUCAAAAUGGGAGGUAAAUCUCUUCUAAAGCUAAAUACCGGCCAGAGACCGAUAGCGCACAAGUAGAGUGAUCGAAAGAUGAAAAGCACCUUGAAAAGGGGGUUAAACAGUACGUGAAAUUGUUGAAAGGGAAGCGCUUGUGACCAGACUUGCGCCGGGCGGCUCAUCAGGGGUUCUCCCCUGUGCACUCCGCCCGGCUCAGGCCAGCAUCGGUUCUCGUGGGGGGAUAAGAACGGUGGGAACGUGGCCCCCCUCCGGGGGGGUGUUAUAGCCCGCCGUACGAUACUCUCGCGGGGACCGAGGUUCGCGCUCCGCAAGGAUGCUGGCGUAAUGGUCAUCAGCGACCCGUCUGAAAUCUCAACCACAGC